CGCCACCUAACAUCAUUCUCCUUUUCCUUUUUUUUUCUUUUCCUUUUUCGCCUACAGCUCCCGGGGCUGUUUCAGCAUUAGAAAUUAUUGAUGUCUUUACUGCCUAGAUGAGUGUUUGACAAAAACUGAGGGUAGUUAUGGUUCCACUGAAACUAUUAUAUUAGCAAGACAGGAUUGUGGCUUUUUGAGACACGGACUAAGUAUGCGUGUACACGUUUUUUUUGUUUACCGUAAGAUGUUUUUAACUUCAUCUGCAGAAUGCCGGAUACCCUCCAACUCUAUGUCAGCCAUUUUCACUGCUUUCAGCAUGACUCAGAAGGCCUUCCCGGGGGCUGCUGUCCGACUGAUGGGGGGAGUAGCAGGAAAGAUUUUGUGGAAAAGCGGAAAGAGGUAAAAUGAGCUGCUGACUGUCUGCUCGUCACUAACAUCACUGCAUCAACUAGAGACUCAGAGGCUCUGUAUACCUAAAGAUUCGCCAUUAUUAGCGCUGUAAAUACACUGCGGAAAAGAUGAUGUAACUGAGCAUUGUGUUCCUAUAAAAAAAAUUUUUUAAGACAACACUUAUCCAGUCAACUCAUGAAACUGGCUAUAAAGAUGUAGCCUAUAGGGUAUACAAGUCUCCAUGUUCAUAACUGGAAACUCACUGCAUCUUGGCAACAUAUCCCUCCUUAGCAACAAAAUGAAUACGUGCAUUCCCAGAUAUAGCCUUUAAAACAUAUAGUAUACAGUUUUGCUUUAUUGCUUUGCUGAAAAAAUGGAUUAUCUCUUAAAAGAUCAGGUUAAUCAAAACUACAUAUUUAGAAUUGCUCCAUUACACCACUGUGAGACUUACACUACCUCUCAGCAUUACGGUUACGCCGUAAUGUCCAUGGUUUUGAAAGAAAAGCAAAUUGUUCUAAUAUAACAAUUAAUAACUGAUGGAAUUAGAACUAUAAAUCCUUGAUUUAAUGAUUUUAUUGGAAUAUCUAUAAAAGCCUGUUUGUUCUGUUGACAUUUUAUGUUACCUGUUUUAUGUUUAUCCAAUGUAAAGGUUGAUUUAUCACUAAAAAGAAUUUUUCUCAUUUACGAUAACUCCACUGAGGACUGUCUGGACCUUGAGCCCCUGUGGAGUUGAUUAGAGUCUCACAAUCAAACUGAAAAAAUAAAUUUGGUCUUUUUCCAAGUGAAUGAAGAUUAUACCACACAAGAAAUUGUGCCCAAAAGAAAAUUCACACAAAGGAGUGUACUACUCUCUUUCCAACCACUACAAUCUGGCACUUUAAUGAAGCUGCCAGUUGAGGACCUGUGAGGUGUUCGUUUCUCAGACUAAAGACUCGGCUGCUCAGAUCUCCACUUCUCUUUUUUUUCAGGUUAGAAACCACGAUCCUGUUCUGUGUAGGAAGUAGUACACACCAGAGGUUUUAUGUCAGGGUCCCACAUGAAUAGCCUUCAUUUCUCACAUCAAGAAUAAUGACUGUUCUACAAAAAUGUGGGGUUUUUAAAACUACAGUGUAAGCACAGGGGCUGAAUUCUCACACACUCACUCACUAAAUGUGUCGUCGCUUGUAUUAGUGUGAGUGUAAUGUUUUCAGCAUUAUAAACUUGCAUUAGAUGAUGAAAGUGCCAUUAGUGUCACGAUUGCUGGAUAUGCCACCCACAUGUGCAUUAAAAAUCAUGAUUAAUAAUUCCAUUUAUCAGUUUUUGUUAUUUCUGAUCGAUUUAAUGUAAAAAGUAGUUUUCUUUUAAAAGCAAGACAUUUCUAAUUGACCCCAAACAUUUAAGCAUUAGUGCUUGACAGUGACUUUUAAAACGCAUUGAAAUAGGUGGUUCAGAUUCUUUUGUCUUUCUUAACACUAUCUGGUGACUGCAUUACCCACAGUAAACCCCAGCCAAACUGGCUCUUAACAGUAAAUGUCGCUUGUAACCAUUAUCCCACAGAGCUGAGGAGCUGGCUAAAGAGGAUUCAUUCUGUUCUCACCCCAAUGAAAUUUGCUCAUUUUUGAGUCAUUUAUCAGGCCCUCUGGUGAAAAGAUCAGUAGGGUUCCCCUUUAAAGAAGUUAUAUACAGCUUUUCUACAUUUUAAUAUGAAAACUGCUUACCGAAACUGUGUCAUCA